rnacentral:lncRNA from 1 species
CCCCGUCUGCGCUUCUUAUUGCUGAGACAGCCGGCGACAAAGGAGGCGUAGGAGACCAAGAAUCGGGUGGGAAAUGUCGGCACUCGUGUCAAGAGGCAAAGGCCAGGCAGGGGUGGGGAGACAGGGCUGGCGGGCGCGACCAGAAGUUGCAGAAAAGGACCCAGCGGCCAGCGUAUUCGACGGAGAACCUGCUCAGCUUAUUAAGACCGCUUCAAACUGCCUCGCAGCCAAGCAGGCAUGGAAUGACGUGGAAAAAGGCACCUGGUGUUUCCCCAUAUGGACCCAGAACGGCCCGCCGCCUCUCGUGGAACGUGGAAGGGCUUCCUUUUAGGCGGUGGUGGAGAAAAGAAGGCAAGGCCCCUCCCUGUGGAAAGGGCUGGGCGGGUGGCAGCAAAAGGAGGACCAUUAUCCCCAUCCAGGGAACAACCGGGUCAUAGUGCAAGGAAUGGAAAAGGGCCUGGAAGAUGUCCUAACCUCAGAUCACAAAGGAUGUGGACGAAGGAAGGACCAAGAGCCAUUAAGCAACAGCCUCACACACAUGGGUGACUCUGCUGCCCUCGCCUUUAAUCUUUUGGAACCAACCGUUCCGCUAGCCUGCCCUCAAGAUUAAAACAACAACAACAACAACGUGUGGCCUCAACUCAGGGAAGGCUUUCUUUCUUUCUGCGACCCUCCUUCCCCUCCUGCCACCCAAGGAUGUGUUUUGGUGAAAUCAGCACAUCUCCCGGCCUGACCCAGCCAAGGGCUUGUCUCAAAAGCCUAACGUGGACCCUUUUGCAUAGUCUGGCUUUACUGCAGUCACGGAUCACCAGACAGGGCAUCAGGCCACGGACAGGAAGGCCUCCGGAUGCGACACCCCCCCAGGCUGCUCCUUCUGGCCGAGCAAGUGGGCCCUUCACUCUGAAUCACGGCAAGGAGGAUUCUGAGAAGGGGAAGAUCAGGAGGGCCUCUGGGGGCCAAGAGGGCAGGGCUCCUGUCUCAAUGGCUCGGGUGCUGGUCAGUGUGUCCAUUCUCAGCACCUCUAUGAACCUAAGCAACAAGCGCAACCGUGUUCAAAUGGCAAAAGCUGGUGGGUGCCCUUGGCCACACAUUUAG